rnacentral:rRNA from 1 species
CCUUCCUACGGGGGGCAGCAGUGGGGGAUAUUGCACAAUGGGGGAAACCCUGAUGCAGCGACGCCGCGUGAGUGAAGAAGUAUUUCGGUAUGUAAAGCUCUAUCAGCAGGGAAGAAAGAAAUGACGGUACCUGACUAAGAAGCUCCGGCUAAAUACGUGCCAGCAGCCGCGGUAAUACGUAUGGAGCAAGCGUUAUCCGGAUUUACUGGGUGUAAAGGGAGCGCAGACGGCAAGGCAAGUCUGAUGUGAAAGUCCGAGGCUCAACCUCGGGACUGCAUUGGAAACUGUCUGGCUAGAGUGCAGGG